UACGUAGGCGGCAAGCGUUGUCCGGAAUUAUUGGGCGUAAAGCGCGCGCAGGUGGUCUCUUAAGUCUGAUGUGAAAGCCCCCGGCUCAACCGGGGAGGGUCAUUGGAAACUGGGAGACUUGAGUCCCCAGGCACGAGAAGAGUGGAAUUCCACGUGUAGCGGUGAAAUGCGUAGAGAUGUGGAGGAACACCAGUGGCGAAGG
rnacentral:rRNA from 1 species